UCAGGAUGAACGCUGGCGGCGCGCCUAACACAUGCAAGUCGAACGGCACCCAUCUUCGGAUGGAAGCGAGUGGCGAACGGCUGAGUAACACGUGGAGAACCUGCCCCCUCCCCCGGGAUAGCCGCCCGAAAGGACGGGUAAUACCGGAUACCCCGGGGUGCCGCAUGGCACCCCGGCUAAAGCCCCGACGGGAGGGGAUGGCUCCGCGGCCCAUCAGGUAGACGGCGGGGUGACGGCCCACCGUGCCGACAACGGGUAGCCGGGUUGAGAGACCGACCGGCCAGAUUGGGACUGAGACACGGCCCAGACUCCUACGGGAGGCAGCAGUGGGGAAUCUUGCGCAAUGGGGGGAACCCUGACGCAGCGACGCCGCGUGCGGGACGGAGGCCUUCGGGUCGUAAACCGCUUUCAGCAGGGAAGAGUCAAGACUGUACCUGCAGAAGAAGCCCCGGCUAACUACGUGCCAGCAGCCGCGGUAAUACGUAGGGGGCGAGCGUUAUCCGGAUUCAUUGGGCGUAAAGCGCGCGUAGGCGGCCCGGCAGGCCGGGGGUCGAAGCGGGGGGCUCAACCCCCCGAAGCCCCCGGAACCUCCGCGGCUUGGGUCCGGUAGGGGAGGGUGGAACACCCGGUGUAGCGGUGGAAUGCGCAGAUAUCGGGUGGAACACCGGUGGCGAAGGCGGCCCUCUGGGCCGAGACCGACGCUGAGGCGCGAAAGCUGGGGGAGCGAACAGGAUUAGAUACCCUGGUAGUCCCAGCCGUAAACGAUGGACGCUAGGUGUGGGGGGACGAUCCCCCCGUGCCGCAGCCAACGCAUUAAGCGUCCCGCCUGGGGAGUACGGCCGCAAGGCUAAAACUCAAAGGAAUUGACGGAAGG
rnacentral:rRNA from 1 species